rnacentral:rRNA from 1 species
AUUGAACGCUGGCGGCAGGCCUAACACAUGCAAGUCGAGCGGAGCGGCGGACGGGAGAGUAAUGCCUAGGAAUCUACCUGGUAGUGGGGGAGAAGGUCCGGAGAGGGGCGCUAAUACCGCAUAAUAUCAGAUGAGCCUAGGUCGGAUGAGCUAGUUGGUGGGGUAAAGGCCUACCAAGGCGACGAUCCGUAACUGGUCUGAGAGGAUGAUCAGCCACACUGGAACUGAGACACGGUCCAGACUCCGACGGGAGGCAGCAGUGGGUAAUAUUGGACAAUGGGCGAAAGCCUGAUCCAGCCAUGCCGCGUGGGUGAAGAAGGUCGUCGGAUGUUAAGGCACUUGAAGUUGGGAGGCGUUACCAACAGAAUAAGCACCGGCUAACUUCGUGCCAGAAGCCGCGGUAAUUC